rnacentral:tRNA from 1 species
GGGGGUAUAGCUCAGCUGGGAGAGCGCCUGCAUGGCAUGCAGGAGGUCAGCGGUUCGAACCCGCUUAUCUCCACCA